GGUGACUAUAGCAUCAGGGUUCCACCUCUUCCCAUUCCGAACAGAGAAGUUAAGCCUGAUCACGCCGAUGGUACUGCGUAACAGUGGGAGAGUAGGUAGUCGCCGUUUU
rnacentral:rRNA from 1 species